UCAAAAAUAAAUAAACCUUUAAAAAUGUUAGAAAAAAAAAGUAAAAUCACAGGUAUUCGUCUUUGACUUGCUCACUAAAUAUUUAUGAUAACCUUCUGACUUAGGUGUUAUGGUUACCACUUCACAGAGAAGAAAAAUUAAACGGGCAAAAUUAGUAAGCAAUGGUGGAGAGAUUCUGGCCCAAAUCGCCUGCUUCCAGAAUGGAUGCCCCUCCCCGCUAACCCUGCUGCCUCUGUUCCAACUUACUUUCUUUUCUAGUCCUCAAAGGAAACUCUUCCUGCCUGUGGUGUGCUAAAGCAGGCGGCACCCCACAGAACACUGCAUAAGGUUUGCUUGUCGAGAACGUGUUUGGCAAGUGCAAAUACAGGACCUGGAAAAGCUGAGCGUAAUUCUUUAAUCUCAUCUACAUGAAGUAGGUGUUAUCUUGGGCAGGUUUCUGACGGAAUGAAAGGAGGAAGGGAAAUGAGGGAAAGAGGUUCCCAAAAAAGGAAUGUAGACACGCAAGGCCCUGGGCAGCCCGCAUGGCAGCAGCAGGGUGGGGCAGAGCCUGGGCAGGUGAGCAGAUAAAGGAAAAUAUGGGGAAAAUACAAUCCAGGUUGCCUACUUGGCAAUCUGAUUAAGGCUGAUGCUGGAGACAAAUGUAUAAGGUUUUAAACUGGUUUAGGGGGACUGAGUGAGAACAACAUUUUUCUGAUUUGCAGGUGGCUGGGUGUAUGAGUGCUGGCGUGUGUGGCUGGAGGUGGCUAAUGGAGGCCAAAUGUUAGGAAAUUUGGCAAGAUGCCUUCAUGCACCGGGGUUAGGCCUGGGAUUUAUACGCUAACCGGUUUCAGGCUGCCCCUCAGAUCAUACCAUCUAGGAUGUGGCUGGCACCUCGUAGGCCCUCACUAACAUGUGAGCAGCGAAGGGAUGAAUCUAGCAAUUGCCCACAGUGCUGGCGUGUUAAGUCAGGCUCAAUACUGAACAGCUAUUUUUCUGAAUGACCUGACCUACCAAGUUAUGAUUUUUUUCAUACUUGUCUAUCCCAACCCUUGCUGUGGUUGUCGGUGUGCAGAGCAGAGUGGGGGUCUUGAGCACUUGGGUCGGCCAGGGGCUGCGCUCCCAGUGCCCAGCACAGGGCGUGCUCUGUCCUCAGGGCUUAAAUCUUUUCUGAAUAAAUGAUUAAUUGUUGUUAAUGUGGGAUAAAAAUCAAAGUCUAUCUUUUAGGUCUCAUGUUCCCUCUUUUCUCUUCUAGGCUAAAUGUGGUGACCCAGAUCCCUGCAUUUUGAUAGCCUGAUACAACCGGCUCAUUACUGAUAAACUCAGGUGAAGCCUUCUUUCUUUCAGUUAGCGACAGUGCUAAAAGCUGGUAAACUGGAUGGACAAUCGGCUUUGAAGAUGAGUCAGCUAUGAGGAGGCUCUGAGGUUUCGGUUUCACCUUGAAAACAUCCUCUCUGAACAUCAGAAGUGCACUUUAUCCCUGAACGAAUGAUGAAUUUGUUAUUAAGGAGAAUCUCUUCUUGGACCACAAGCAUUCCCUGAAAUAUAAUCCUGCAAUGUGGACACUGGAGAUUAUAUUGUGGAAAGUUUCCUGAUUCAGCUGCCGGUCACACUUGUCAGAGAGGAAGUCUAAAGCAGGAGAAGCAGACUAGCAAGUGGUGAGUGUUUGCUGUUGAAGAAGAGUGGAAGGGGGAAGACAGAGGGAACAUAGGGAUUCCCUGAGCGAGGUAUGGCUUUUAACUCCUUGAAUGAGAGCAUUGGAGUGAAGGUAAAGGUCAUGUUGGGAGUGACGUGUCAGGAUUUUCAUUAGUACAUGAAUCAGAAUUUUAUUUCAACCUAACUCUUCAUACUGGCACCCUAGGGCAUAGUAAAACAGAGUUCUAAUCAAAACAGUAUAAUGAAAUAUAAUCUAAAAAGGAAUAGGUUUAUAGGUUAGCUUUCAAAACAGACAGGUGUUUUGUUAUUUGAAGAAUAAAAUCCUCUAACUGGCAAGUUUCUUUUGUAGUUGAAUAGGAUGUGUAAGAUGCAUUUUUUUUCAAAGGGCUUCAAGAAGUCCCACAGUAAGGCGCUUAAAGGUCACAUAAAUAGAAAUGGAAAUGGGACUUGGAAAAUCUUUCAAGUUAGAAGCAGCGUAGGGCAGAGCUAGUAUUAACUUUCUCAGGGAUCAGUGUGCAUUCUGUUUUUAUGUGGAUGAACUGAUUCAACUCAGUUAACUUGUUUAUUCAUAUAAUUAGUAAAUAUUUAUUGAGUGCUGUCUAUGUGUCCGGAGCAUUACUAGGUCUUGGACCUUACCUGGUCUUCUGCUGCCACAGGUGGAAAAGAAAAAUUCAGAAGAGAGAAGGUAAGUGUGAACUGACAGAAAUGCAUCCAGUGAUUGCAUUGAGCUAUCUGCACAAUACAAGGCAGAGAACGAUUAAUUAGCUGCUGUAGUCACUGAGUCAGUGGAAAUUGUCUACCAAACUGGUGUUUUUAUUUUGUAGCAGUUCCAGGACGCCAACAUUUAUAAGCUGUACAGCUUUUAUAAGAUUAAAAUGCAUUAAAUGCAGACAGUUUUUAAAACUGACAAUCACAUGUGUUUAUUUAUGCAAAUUUAUUUUGUACCCUGAAGUUUGAUUCUAAACCUUUGUCAUAUUCAAAGUCUAAACUUUCUCCAGAAUCAUUUUUAGUGUCCACAGUGAUGCAUAAUAUAAUAAUGACAGAUGAUUUCCUAUAAUCCACACUCCUGCUCUGGACCUCCUUAGCACGAGGAAAAUGACUUGCCACUAUACCUUGGAGACACAUUGAAGAAUACUAUGUCUAAAUUUGUUGUUUUGCUUUUUCCUUAUUUGAUUUAUGAAUCUCUGAAAAGUCUCUGAAAGGUAAGUAACUCAAUGUUUCUGAUUGGCAGAUGUUUAGACUUUGAGAGGCAGUCCUUCAUGGAUUCAUAAUAACUUUUCCUAGCUCUGAAAAUUCUGUCAUCUAUUCCAAGAGAUCAGGCUAAGUUCAUAUGUAUAUAGACCAUAACAAAUUAACAACACUAGUUACAACACUAGUUACAACACUGGUUAUAACACUGGUUACAACAGUAACUAGUACCUUGCAGAUGGCAAAUUUGUUUGGAUAUGGAUUGCAAAAUUAAUCUUUAUUUUAGAAUGUUAAAAUAGAAAACCAUGAUCUUAGAAUGGAGGAAAUAGAGCAAUUAAAAUAGAAGUGGGCAUGUUGUUUCCUAGGAAGGCGAUUGGCUGGGCAAACGAGCUGGUAAAACUCAUCUGUCCCUGCCUGAUGUCUGAUAACAUCAGAUAUUUCAGCUGCAUCUGACCCCUCUGAGGGUAUGAGUGUAUGUUAGUGGUGGACUGCUUUGACAUCUUCGCUUCUAUUUCAAAACAACACAAGCCAAGAGCAACUAAACUAAUUUUAUCGGUUGUACAAAAACACAGAAAGCAAAUAUGGAUACAGCAAGAGAGUAAGGGCUUUCAUACUGCUACCAUCAGUAUUUGAAGAAAUAGCACUGAAACAAAACCAAAUAAUUUUUUCCUUUACUAGAAAAAUUCAACACUCGCAUAAGAAAGUUUAAAAAAUACAGCGUUGGAGUGCCUGGGUGUCUUAGUCAGUUAAGCGUCUGACUUUGGCUCAAGUCAUGGUC